rnacentral:lncRNA from 1 species
CCGCCUUCCGGCGCCUGCGGUUGCCCCCUGGCCUCAGCCGGUGGGCUCCAAGUAGGAAGAUAAACCGCAUUGCAGGAAGCGGGAGAGUCCGGAGGAGCGGCGAAGCGCUCCUCUUCCCCAUUGGCUGCGCCCAGGGAGCCGCCUUGAGAUUGGCCAUAAGCGCCGGUGGCGGGGGUCGCGAGAGGCGUCAGGAUCCCUGGCGCCGCCUGAGCCAGCGGCUGCUAGGAGGCUGUGUCCGCAAGCCAGCGGGGCGAGGCACCUGGGGCCUGCGCGUCAGGUCCCGGCCUGGGGCACCGGGGCUGCCAGCGUCGGAGGAGAUGAUAGUGUCGAACCAAGUGAAACAAAGAAAGAAGAUCUGAAUGACAAAGAGAAAAAAGAUGAAGACGAAACUCCUGCACCUGUAUAUAGGGCCAAGUCAAUUCUGGAGACCUGGGCGUGGGGCAAGCAACCAGGUAAUCUUCUGAGUUUUGGCACUUUGGAAAGCUUGAUCUGACGCUCCUUUUCUAAAUAACUUGGAUGGAUUAUUUGUAUUUUUUGGUAACAAUUUUAAAAAAUGUAAUUAAAAAAAUUUAAAUAUUGUGGUAAAAUAUACAUACCGUAAAACUUGCCAUUUUAAUCAUUUUUAUGUGUACAGUUCAUUGGCAUUAAGUAUAUUCACAUUAUUGCCCAGCCGUCACCACCAUCCAUCUCUACAACUUUUGCCCUUUCUCCAACUGAAACUCCGUAUCCAUGAAACACUAACUCCUUCUGUCCCCAAGCAACCACCAUUCUACUUUUGUCUCAGAAUUUGACUACUCAAGGUGUCUCCUAUAAGGGGAAUCAUACAGUAUUUGUCCUUUUGUGACUGGGUUAUUGAACUUGUUAGGUGUUUGGGGUUCAUCCGCAUGUGUCAAAAUUUUCUUUUAAAGGCUCAAUGCUAUUCCAUUAUAUAUGUAAGCCACAUGUUAUCCCUUCAUCAGUGGGCAAUCAGGUUGCUUUCAUCUCUUGACUGUUGUGAGUAAUGCUGCUAUCAACAUUGGUUUACCAGUGUCUUGAGUGUCUGCUUUUAAUUCUUUGUGUCUAUACCUAGGAGUGGAAUUGGUCAAUAAUGUGGAAUGCUUACAUAUUUAUUUUUUUUGAGAUGGCAUCUCGCUCUGUCGCCCAGGCUGGAGUGCAGUGGCGCCAUCUCAGCUCACAGCAAGCUCCGCCUCUCGGGUUCACGCAAUUCUCCUGCCUCAGCUUCCUGAGUAGCUGGGACUACAGGCGCCCGC